rnacentral:rRNA from 1 species
GAGUUUGAUCGUGGCUCAGAUUGAACGCUGGCGGCGUGCUUAACACAUGCAAGUCGAGCGGCAGCGCGGGGGCAACCCUGGCGGCGAGCGGCGAACGGGUGAGUAAUGCUUCGGAAUCUUCCUCGUAGUGGGGAAUAACCUGGGGAAACUCAGGCUAAUACCGCAUACGAACUACGGUUGAAAGCAGGGGAUCGCAAGACCUUGCGCUAUGAGAUGAGCCGAAGUCGGAUUAGCUAGUUGGUGGGGUAACGGCCUACCAAGGCGACGAUCCGUAGCUAGGUCUGAGAGGACGACCAGCCACACUGGGACUGAGACACGGCCCAGACUCCUACGGGAGGCAGCAGUGGGGAAUAUUGGACAAUGGGCGCAAGCCUGAUCCAGCGACGCCGCGUGUGUGAAGAAGGCCUGCGGGUUGUAAAGCACUUUUAGUGGGGAUGAAAAGCCGAAGGCUAAUACCUUUCGGUCUUGACCUAACCCAAAGAAAAGCACCGGCUAACUCUGUGCCAGCCGCCGCCGU